rnacentral:misc_RNA from 1 species
AUUGUAACAAGGUUUCCGUUGGUGAACCAGCGGAGGGAUCAUUACCGAGUUUACAACUCCCAAACCCAAUGUGAACGUUACCAAACUGUUGCCUCGGCGGGAUCUCUGCCCCGGGUGCGUCGCAGCCCCGGACCAAGGCGCCCGCCGGAGGACCAACCAAAACUCUUUUGUAUACCCCCUCGCGGGUUUUUAUAUCUGAGCCAUCUCGGCGCCUCUCGUAGGCGUUUCGAAAAUGAAUCAAAACUUUCAACAACGGAUCUCUUGGUUCUGGCAUCGAUGAAGAACG